rnacentral:rRNA from 1 species
GACGUAGGGGGCGAGCGUUGUCCGGAUUUAUUGGGCGUAAAGGGCUCGUAGGCGGUCUGUUGCGUCGGGAGUGAAAACUCAGGGCUUAACCCUGAGCCUGCUUCCGAUACGGGCAGACUAGAGGUAUGCAGGGGAGAACGGAAUUCCUGGUGUAGCGGUGAAAUGCGCAGAUAUCAGGAGGAACACCGGUGGCGAAGGCGGUUCUCUGGGCAUUACCUGACGCUGAGGAGCGAAAGUGUGGGGAGCGAACAGG